rnacentral:rRNA from 1 species
GACGAACGCUGGCGGCGUGCUUAACACAUGCAAGUCGAACGGAAAGGCCCUGCUUUUGUGGGGUGCUCGAGUGGCGAACGGGUGAGUAACACGUGAGUAACCUGCCCUUGACUUUGGGAUAACUUCAGGAAACUGGGGCUAAUACCGGAUAGGAGCUCCUGCUGCAUGGAGGGGGUUGGAAAGUUUCGGCGGUUGGGGAUGGACUCGCGGCUUAUGAGCUUGCUGGUGGGGUAGUGGCUGACCAAGGCAUUGACGGGUAGCCGGCCUGGGAGGGUGACCGGCCACCUUGGUACUGCGAUACGGCCCAGACUCCUACGGGAGGCAGCGGGGGGGAAUAUUGCACAGUGGGCGGGCGCCUGAUGCAGCGACGCCGCGUGCGGGAUGACGGCCUUCUGGUUGUAAACCGCUUUCGCCUGUGACGAAGCGUGAGUGACGGUACUGGGUAAAGAAGCACCGGCUAACUACGUG